GAUGAACGCUGGCGGCGUGCUUAACACAUGCAAGUCGAACGAGCAGUGGAGGCGGUUACCUUCGGGCGGAAGGCUUCAUUUCGAGUGGCAGCCGGGUGAGUAACGCGUGGGUAACCUGCCACAACUAGGGGGAUAACAGUUUGAAACGACUGAUAAUAUCGCAUAAGACCGCAGCACCGCAAGGUGCGGGGGUAAAGACUCCGGUGGUAUGAGAUGGACCCGCGUGCGUUUAGCGAGUUGGAAGGGUAAAGGACCACCAAAGCGACGAUCGAUAGCCGGACAGUGAGGAUGACCGGCCACACCGGGACGGGGACGCGGCCCAAACUCCUACGCGAUGGGGCAGUGCGGAACAUAGCACCACGGGGGAAACCCUGAUGCACCGAGGCCGCGUAAGUGAAGAAAUAUUGCGGGAUGUAAUGUGCUAGCAGCAGGGAAGAAAAUGACGGUACCUGAGUAAGAAGCCCCGGCUAACUACGUG
rnacentral:rRNA from 1 species